UACGUAGGGGGCAAGCGUUGUCCGGAUUUAUUGGGCGUAAAGAGCUCGUAGGCGGCUCAGUAAGUCAGGUGUGAAACCUCCAGGCUCAACCUGGAGACGCCACCUGAUACUGCUGUGGCUAGAGUCCGGUAGGGGAGCGUGGAAUUCCUGGUGUAGCGGUGAAAUGCGCAGAUAUCAGGAGGAACACCAGCGGCGAAGGCGGCGCUCUGGGCCGGAACUGACGCUGAGGCGCGAAAGCCAGGGGAGCGAACGGG
rnacentral:rRNA from 1 species